CACCUAUCAACUCAAUGGUACCACUAUCCAUUAUAACUUACUAACUAAUCUAGCCAUUUUCAUACUUUGAGCAAACAACAACUCACCUUAGCUAAUUACUUUUUCUUUACCUUCUAUACAAAACUAGCGCAUAAGGACAUAUCACCUUAAUACCAACUUAAGAUCAUGCCAAAAGAUUCAGCUAUACAUACAUUUAAUAAAUUGCCCUUACUGCUUUUCCUUCCAUUACGCCUCUAAACCCCU
rnacentral:lncRNA from 1 species